UACAGAGGUCUCAAGCGUUGUUCGGAUUCAUUGGGCGUAAAGGGUGCGCAGGUGGCGCGGCAAGUCGGAUGUGAAAUCCCGGGGCUCAACCUUGGAACUGCAUUCGAUACUGCCGUGCUAGAGUGCUGGAGAGGAGAUUGGAAUUUACGGUGUAGCAGUGAAAUGCGUAGAUAUCGUAAGGAAGACCAGUGGCGAAGGCGGAUCUCUGGACAGCUACUGACACUGAGGCACGAAAGGCCAGGGGAGCAAACGGG
rnacentral:rRNA from 1 species